rnacentral:rRNA from 1 species
AACGCUAGCUACAGGCUUAACACAUGCGAGUCGAGGGGCAGCAUGGUCUUAGCUUGCUAAGGCCGAUGGCGACCGGCGCACGGGUGAGUAACACGUAUCCAACCUGCCGUCUACUCUUGGACAGCCUUCUGAAAGGAAGAUUAAUACAAGAUGGCAUCAUGAGUCCGCAUGUUCACAUGAUUAAAGGUAUUCCGGUAGACGAUGGGGAUGCGUUCCAUUAGAUAGUAGGCGGGGUAACGGCCCACCUAGUCUUCGAUGGAUAGGGGUUCUGAGAGGAAGGUCCCCCACAUUGGAACUGAGACACGGUCCAAACUCCUACGGGAGGCAGCAGUGAGGAAUAUUGGUCAAUGGGCGAGAGCCUGAACCAGCCAAGUAGCGUGAAGGAUGACUGCCCUAUGGGUUGUAAACUUCUUUUAUAAAGGAAUAAAGUCGGGUAUGGAUACCCGUUUGCAUGUACUUUAUGAAUAAGGAUCGGCUAACUCCGUGCCAGCAGCCGCGGUAAUACGGAGGAUCCGAGCGUUAUCCGGAUUUAUUGGGUUUAAAGGGAGCGUAGAUGGAUGUUUAAGUCAGUUGUGAAAGUUUGCGGCUCAACCGUAAAAUUGCAGUUGAUACUGGAUAUCUUGAGUGCAGUUGAGGCAGGCGGAAUUCGUGGUGUAGCGGUGAAAUGCUUAGAUAUCACGAAGAACUCCGAUUG